GGGAAACAGCCUUAUUCCAGGGGCACCCCAGCCGCCAAAACACGACCCGAGGACCGGCGCACCCAGAAACGCGGCUCUGCUCACAAGGCGUCUCCGCUCUUGGACGGUUUUAAAGAACAUACAACAUACAGAAAGAGCAGCAAAGAUUAAAAGUACUGGUGUUGAUGCGGAGCCAAGAUGGCGGAAUAGACAGGCGCUUCCAUCAAGCCCUCUUUACACCAAAGACCCGAAAAAACAAGUGAAAGGAGUAUAUUUGUGACAAGCUGGGAGCCCUGAGCAUCAAAGGCAAGCUUAGACAACGAACUGAGGGGCAGGGGGAGGAAGAGACCAUUCAGAAGUGGAGAGGAGUUGCCAGACCUGAAUCGUGGGGAGCCCUCAGGCACCAUUCCUGGACUGGCUGUGGUGGCGGCAGCGGCAGAGGCAGGCUGGUCCUAGCGUUCGGCCACCGUUUCCUCAGGGAGAAGCAGCCAGCCACACAGCCCACUCACACCUCCAUCACCUGAGCUGAAGGGCACUCUCGCCAAAAGCUAAGUACUUGCGUAUAUUUUACCGCGCCCCUCCCACCCCCAAGCCAGAUUCAGCGGCUGAAUCCCUAGGCCUGAGAUACACCCUGGUGAGCACCUGCAGCCGUCCUCCCAGCCUUGGGGAAGGAAAAAAUCUCCAACUGGGGGUAAAAGAUAAUUUGCCAGCUCCAUUAACUGGGGGAGCUCAGGACAGAAGUGGCUCCUGUCCAGGCAUAAACUGUCCGUGGACCUUGAGCACCUUUCCCUUCUGCAUAGACCUGUGUGGGCCUAUUUCGGGAGAAUAGGCCCUUGUUGGCAAACUCCAACCAUAUCAGCGGUGCAGUGGAGAGGUGGGUGUUUGACUUUUGACAUUGCUUUGCCUAUUAAACAAGGUACUCACCUACCCACAACAGGGACGUAAGGACUGGUGGCUCCGCUUGGGUUGCCCAGCCGCCCAUGACAGGGGCCCAGGGAUAUCUGGUACCUCCCGUCCUUACAACAAAAUCUUUGGGUGCCCACGGUCCCUCUGCAGAGCCCACCCAAGAGCAUGCUCUAGGGAACAGAGACGCGUUUUCCUCAGAGACACUUGGGGGCCGGUUCUCAGCCCCCUGCCUUAUUCAGAGCAUGACCCCUGCUGCAAUCAGAUACCGGUAUGUACACCAAUCACCCCUGCACCUCUAAGACUGUGGGACAGAGCUUGUACCACACACUUGAUGAUCAGCUACCUGGAAACCUGAGCUGAAUUCAUACAAGAAAACUGAAUGGAUUCCUAGAAUGAUAUACCUGAUAACAGCUCUAGCCAGCUGGGGACAGGACACCAGAGCUCCAAAGGCAAAAAUAAUCAACCUAGCUCACUCAAGCAACCCAUGGGGUAUACCAAAACAAAACAAAGCAAGCAGCUAUGACACAGUAAGCCAGGAUACACUAAUACAAUAACUUAUAGAUGGCUCGUAGACAACAGUCAAUAUCAAGUCACAUAAAGAAAUAGUCCGUGAUCACGUCAACAGGCUCUCAAAACAAAGAAUCCAGGGAUCUUCUAGAUGAAAGUACAUUCCUGGAAUUACAGGAUGCAGAAUACAAAAGUUUAAUAUAAGUUUAACCCUUCAAGACAUCAGGAAGGAAAUGAGGCAAUAUGCAGAACAAGCCAAGGAACACACACAUAAAGCAACUGAAGAAAUCAGAAAGAUUAUUCCAGAACAUAAUGAAAAGUUUAAUACGCUGGAAAAAUCCAUAGACAGACAGCAAUCAGAAAUUCAGAAGAUUAACACUAAAAUUACAGAAUUAGACAACUCAAUAGAGUCAGAGGAGCAGAAUUGAGCAAGUAGAAGCUAGAAUUUCUGAACUCGAAGAUAAAUCACUUGGCACUAAUAUAUAUGAAGAAAAAUCAGAUAAAAGAAUUUAAACAAAA